CUUCUCUAAACCUAUUCCUGAUUUCUACUUUCCCUCUCUAAAUUCCUUUUUUCUCUCCUCUCACAUUGUUUACAGAAGAUCGUUGCUUCAGGCUUUUCUCUGAAAUCUUCAUCGACAUUAACUCAGAGUUCUUCGAGGUUUGCUUGAAAUCGUUCUUGUUAAUUGUUUUUAUUUUUACGUUUUUGUCACAGUGUUUUUUGCAUCUAAAUUAUUUAUGCGUUUCUGUGUUGAAUCCUUCAGUAAACUUAGGUUUUGAAUCCCUUAGUAAACUUAGGUUUUGUAUCCUUCAUUUCUGAAUAAGUUUGCAUCCAUGACUUUUUUUGACGUUUUACUUGAUUUAUUUUAACUUUUGCUUUUGCUUUCAAACUUCACGAAUCGGUUGGGACACCGUCCAAUUCUCAAUUAAAUUCGCAAAAAUAAGUUUUUCUUUAUCCUUGUAAAUUCUAGGGUUUUGAAUUUGUAAAAUUUUAAUUUUUCAUUUGAUGUUCAGUUUUUGUAAAAGUUUCCUAAUUAAUUAGCAUAAAUUUAUUCUAGGGUUUGAAUUUAUGAUUUGGAGUUUGAUUUAGGUGUUGUGUUUGUUUGUGUUUGUGAGUUGUUUAAGGUAGCGAUUCAUGCUUUGGUAUACUUCAUAAUUUUUGUUUCUAGAUUGUGAAGCUUGUUAGCAAAGCCCUUGUCUUUCUUGUUCUGGGUGUGUUGAAUUGAAAAUGCUCUCUAGUUCACUAUGUUUUCAGAAGUUAGGGUCAAUUCUGUGUUGAGUAUUGUUAAUUCUACUUUAAUAUGUAUUUUUUGGUUUGAUCUUAACUUUUUGAUCAUGAAGGUUGGUUUCUUGUCCCCUGUCGUUGCUGUGUUGCUCAUGGUUCUAUCGAGGGUCUUAUUUUAUUCAUGAUGAUUAUCUAAUGUCUAAUGUCUACACAAUGAUGGUGUUUCUUACUGAUUGUAUGCCUACUAUCUCAUUCCUAUUGCCUGCCUACUUUCUAGAUUGUUAGGAAAUAUGUUUAAGAACAUAGGGAUAUAUAAUUAAGGUUUGGUUCUCAUCUAUUUUUCCUCUGUUUCUUACUGAUUGUAAUUGAUUCCAUUAUUUUCUGUGAGCUGUGUGCAUACAUAUGAAUUGUGCAUCUAGAAAUGAUUGAACCAAUUUUGAUAGUCUGCUUGCUUGCUGUUGGGUGUUAAUUAAAUUGUUUAGUUCUACUUUGAGGCUGAUUGGUAUAUGUUCCUAGGUGUGUUGAUAUUUCUUGUGUUGUGUCCUCUUGUUUUAAAAGUUUACGCUCCAGCAGGCUACUGACUAGUGUACUUUUACAGCAGGCUGAGGCUGGUUUCAGACCAGAAAGGUGCUCUGUUGAGCUGGUUUCAGUCUGCAAUGACGUUGCUGCGAAUGUUACGAGGGUCUAGGGAGGGAAGGACAGCUGGAACUCAUACCCAUAAAGGAGAGCAUGGCCAAUGAGUCCCUCAACUCGAGAAAGAUCAUGAAUAGUUCCUGCAAAGAAUAAGACUGGGUGAAGCUGAUGCUAACUCCACAAGCAUAUAUCUUAUCACCCAAACGUGAUCAUAAUUUGAAAAAAAUGUGAAUUGUGUAGAUGACGAGAGAUAUGUGUGCUGCGAUCUUCUGCUGCCGAAGCUUCUAUAUGACGAGUAGCCAUCCAUCGCUCAAGCCAGCUCCAGCCCAUAUUU